rnacentral:lncRNA from 1 species
GUGACAUAUCACAUGGAUUGUCCUGACCAAGAUUUUACUCAAUUGAAAUGCAGUGAUGCAUCAACUCCUAAAAUGUGAAGGGAUCAAUCCCAUUUUGAUCCACACAUCGACUACCAUAAGUACUUGACUGUGUCCAAAAAUUUUUUAUCACUGAAUUAAAAAUUCAGAUAGUCUAGCAUCAAAGUACAAUGAGUUGCUUACAAAUCACCAUGAUAAUCUCA